rnacentral:rRNA from 1 species
GCGGCGCGCCUAACACAUGCAAGUCGAACGAGAGAUGAGGAGCUUGCUCUUCAAAUCGAGUGGCGAACGGGUGAGUAACGCGUGAGGAACCUGCCUCAAAGAGGGGGACAACAGUUGGAAACGACUGCUAAUACCGCAUAAGCCCACGGCUCGGCAUCGAGCAGAGGGAAAAGGAGCAAUCCGCUUUGAGAUGGCCUCGCGUCCGAUUAGCUAGUUGGUGAGGUAAUGGCCCACCAAGGCGACGAUCGGUAGCCGGACUGAGAGGUUGAACGGCCACAUUGGGACUGAGACACGGCCCAGACUCCUACGGGAGGCAGCAGUGGGGAAUAUUGCACAAUGGGGGAAACCCUGAUGCAGCGACGCCGCGUGGAGGAAGAAGGUCUUCGGAUUGUAAACUCCUGUUGUUGAGGAAGAUAAUGACGGUACUCAACAAGGAAGUGACGGCUAACUACGUGCCAGCAGCCGCGGUAAAACGUAGGUCACAAGCGUUGUCCGGAAUUACUGGGUGUAAAGGGAGCGCAGGCGGGAGAACAAGUUGGAAGUGAAAUCCAUGGGCUCAACCCAUGAACUGCUUUCAAAACUGUUUUUCUUGAGUAGUGCAGAGGUAGGCGGAAUUCCCGGUGUAGCGGUGGAAUGCGUAGAUAUCGGGAGGAACACCAGUGGCGAAGGCGGCCUACUGGGCACCAACUGACGCUGAGGCUCGAAAGUGUGGGUAGCAAACAGGAUUAGAUACCCUGGUAGUCCACACCGUAAACGAUGAUUACUAGGUGUUGGAGGAUUGACCCCUUCAGUGCCGCAGUUAACACAAUAAGUAAUCCACCUGGGGAGUACGACCGCAAGGUUGAAACUCAAAGGAAUUGACGGGGGCCCGCACAAGCAGUGGAGUAUGUGGUUUAAUUCGACGCAACGCGAAGAACCUUACCAAGUCUUGACAUCCCUUGACGAACAUAGAAAUAUGUUUUCUCUUCGGAGCAAGGAGACAGGUGGUGCAUGGUUGUCGUCAGCUCGUGUCGUGAGAUGUUGGGUUAAGUCCCGCAACGAGCGCAACCCUUAUGGUCAGUUACUACGCAAGAGGACUCUGGCCAGACUGCCGUUGACAAAACGGAGGAAGGUGGGGAUGACGUCAAAUCAUCAUGCCCUUUAUGACUUGGGCUACACACGUACUACAAUGGCGUUAAACAAAGAGAAGCAAGACCGCGAGGUGGAGCAAAACUCAGAAACAACGUCCCAGUUCGGACUGCAGGCUGCAACUCGCCUGCACGAAGUCGGAAUUGCUAGUAAUCGUGGAUCAGCAUGCCACGGUGAAUACGUUCCCGGGCCUUGCACA